rnacentral:tRNA from 2 species
GGGCUUGUAGCUCAGUUGGUUAGAGCGCUACGUUGACAUCGUAGAGGUCCGCAGUUCGAGUCUGCGCAAGCCCACCA